ACUCACUCACUGCACCGUCGCGAAGUGGAAACCCUGCCCCCACUCACUCUCUUCACUCUCGCCGUUGACACUCUCGCUCUCGUCAUUGAUCCUCUCACUCUUGCCAUUGACCCUCUCCCACUCACCCGCACUCACCACUCUCCACAUUGCUGCACUACUGACCAUCGCUGCACCGCCCUCACCAUCGUCGCUGCGCCGCCCUCACCACCGUCAUCACCCCCAAAUCAGAGAAAAGCGUUUGCCAUCACCACUCACCACUCACGGCGUCACCAUUCACUACUCCAGGAACACUCUGCGCUCACUCAUCUUCCCCACUCAUCUUCAUCGUCGCUUCUCUUCGCUGCGCGGUCACAUCACGAAGACUCUGCGCUCAACUGAAAGCUUUCUUCAUUCACGAGCGCAGGAGAACCCCUGAAUUUAGGGGUUUUAUUCCGUUAACACAGGUGAGUUUGGCCAUGAUUAGUUGCUACGCAGGAAUACCUCACUGCAUUUCCCUGCUACUUCGUUUUAUUGAGUUGUAAUGAAGUGUUCACACAUUGUAUGUAGCCCUCCAUCGUCAUCUGUAGCAGCAGCAACAACAGUCAUGGCAGAGGCGGUGGCAAUGGUGUUCGUAUAAUUAGGAACGGAAUCUCCAAAUGGUGCUCCCUAAUCACCACUCGCACCAACCAGCUCAGACAAGACUCCAUUAAUUCCGUUGCAAAAUUCCACAAUCACCUAUUUACUUCCAUCAUCAAUCCUCCGCCUCCUCCUCUUUCCUUUCUGGUUAAUGGAGACGGUGGAAUGAAGUAUCCGAUUUGGAUGUGCGUUGUGGCUCUUGUUUUGUUUGUGGGAGUGAGAGCAUUUGCAGGAGAGUAUUAUCCCAAAGAAACCACCGCCCUGGCUCCGUAGCUGAUCUUGUCAGGCGUGGCCAACUCAGAUCCGAUAGAAGAGGCAUGUAUGAUGUCUAUCCUUAUCACUUUUUUCAAUUUUUAAUAAUUGAUUAAUUAUCUAGCUUCUUACUCUGGAUUAUGAAAUUAGAUUAGUUAAUAGGUUGUAGUGAGACUGAAUAUAUUGUCCUCGUGUCAAGAAUCAUAAGCUUUUUAGGUGAAUGCUCAAAAUUGAUCAACCCUAGGGAUUUGAUAAUAUGUCGUAAUGGCAAGAUUUCAAUUCCUAUUCUUCCAGCCAUAGUCUAUUCUUUAUUACAAUGUUUAUAAUCAACUCUUACAAAAGCUUAAGCUAUUAGGUAAAGCAACAUGAAUACAUCUAACAUUAUA